rnacentral:rRNA from 1 species
UUGGAGGGCAAGUCUGGUGCCAGCAGCCGCGGUAAUUCCAGCUCCAGUAGCGUAUAUUAAAGUUGUUGCAGUUAAAAAGCUCGUAGUUGAAUUUCGAGAUCAGUACGCUGGUCGUGCCUUCGGUACUAUGCACUGGUGUCACUGGUUUCUCCCUUCUGAAGAACCGUAAUGCCAUUCAGUUGGUGUGGCGGGGAAUCAGGAUUGUUACUUUGAAAAAAUUAGAGUGUUUAAAGCAGGCUCGUGCUUGAAUACAUUAGCAUGGAAUAAUGAAAUGGGACGUUUGAUCCUAUUUUGUUGGUUUCUAGGAUCGACGUAAUGAUUAAUAGGGAUAGUUGGGGGCAUUAGUAUUCAAUUGUCAGAGGUGAAAUUCUUGGAUUUAUUAAAGACUAACUACUGCGAAAGCAUUUGCCAAGGAUGUUUUCAUUAAUCAAGAACGAAAGUUGGGGGAUCGAAGACGAUCAGAUACCGUCGUAGUCUUAACCAUAAACUAUGCCGACUAGGGAUCGGAUGAUGUUAAUUUUUUAAUGACUCAUUCGGCGCCUUACGGGAAACCAAAGUGUUUGGGUUC